GCAAGUCGAACGGGCAUAGCAAUAUGUAAGUGGCAAACGGGUGAGGAAUGUAGAGGAAUCUCCCCAGCAGUAAGGAAUAACCAUGAGAAAUCAUGGCUAAUACCAUAUAUCACCCUUCGGGGGAAAGAUUUAUCGCUGUUGGAUGAGCCUCUAUCGGAUUAGCUAGUUGGUAGGGUAAUGGCCUACCAAGGCAAUGAUCCGUAGCUGGUCUGAGAGGAUGAUC
rnacentral:rRNA from 1 species